CAAAAGCCUGGGCAGGGAAUGCAGCCUGGCCCAUCUCUGCAGAGAGGGGAAACGUACCCACUUCCCUCAGCCAUUGCCAAGAGGCCCAUACUUCAGGGCCACUUCCCUCUGGCGCAUGGCUAGUUGCGUCUGCACUGGUGUUGGUGGGUGUUUGAACUCCUGCCCUCUUCCUAUAAGGAGACUCCGGACCUAAAUCUCCUAUCCUCUGCUGUUGGCAAUCUCUUUAUCAGUGACUCGCAGCCUCAAACUUUUCUAUCACGAAAGGAAAAACCAGUGAAGAGAGCCCAGUGCCAGGCCUAUCUGCCUUCAGUGGCUGGCUCCUGUUCCCUCCUCAGGGCUCCCUGUUGUGCAACCUGGACCUGCCCCAAUAGUGGGAUUUAAGAACAAACAUCUGUGUAGACCCAUUUCCAGAAGAUACUGCACCAAAUGCUCUUUUGACCCCUGAACAUGCUGUAUCAGAUUUAACCCCAGCAAAACCCUAUAAGGCUUAGAUCAAGCAGAUUGGGGACAAAUGCUACAUAAAGGAUGUCUUCUCAGUGGCCCACACCAAGAGGAAUCGCAAACAGGAUGCCAACAGGGGAAUGAGUUCAGGCCUUGGAGUCAGACAGAGUUGCCUUCACAUUCUACCUUGCCACCUAUUGGCCUUGGGACCUGGGCCAUCCCCAGCCUCCAAGAUCUCUGUGGACUGGACCGAGAUGAUACCUUCCUUCUGGGGGACUUGUGGAAAUUGAAAGAGAUGCUU
rnacentral:lncRNA from 1 species